UUUGCAGAUAGAAACCCCUUCCACCUGAAAUGCUGUCACAAAUACUUUGGAGCCUUAACUUGUUAAUCUUAGAGAUGAACAGCAAAGAUACCCAGGAUUGCUUUGAAAGAGUCAUUGAUGUGAACCACUGAUGAAUGGAAUUGGCAAGUAUAGAAAGUUCCCUCUGUCGUUUCUGAAUCCUCAGCAAGCUACCAUGUCUGCAGCCUCUGACCCUCAUGUGCUCUUCUGGGGACAGUGAUUUUCAACUGGUAAACAAGGACACCACCACUCUGGACUCAGGAAAUGGAACCCUGUUCUCACCCUUCUACCUUUUUACCCCAGAAUGUGCCCUUAUCCAUCCCUAAUUUCCUACAGUACUCCAGAGACAAGGCCAUAAUUUUUGUUGAGAUUUUAUUGACGAUUACCAGAUUAUGUGAGGCAAAGAACACAGUUUACACCUACUGCACAGUUCAUAUUUUUUCUAGGUUCCAUUGCUAGACCAAUUCCCUAAUGCAGGCUGACUCCAAACGGCCUAGGAAAGUCCCUCAACCCCCCACUCCCCAUCACUACCAAAAACCUGAGAGUUUGCAGUUUCCAAUCAUGGAUAAACUGAUCCUCACCAUGGAGAAGGGAAAGCUGCUCCCACAACUCAAUCUCUAAAAAGUACUCAAAGUGUCUCAAAUUUAUAUUCCUGGAAUCAAAGAUGUGAACCUGAAAUCAAUGGAAUGGAUCAAAGGGCUAGAAUGUGAUGGGUUGGAUAUAGAAAUUCAGUCUCCUAUUACUCCAAAGAACAUGAUUCAUGUUAAGAUGAAGAAGAACAGGGUUGACAAUAUCUUACAGUGAACUCAGUGCUUCACCUCUUCCCAGGAUAGUAAACAUAGGGAACCAAAAUGUCCAUCCAUGGUCCAAGAAGACUUAACACCCUGCCCCUGUGUAAUCCUACACAGCAGUGUGAAAAAGCAGGCAGGACCUCUAGAAGUUUAGACUUCUUUGGGGCCAGUGCUGAGGGCAUAGAGGACUUGGAACAGAGUUGGUUAUCAAUUCUCUCUUUUCCUUUUGUCUCCGCACUCAAACUUAGACCUCAUUUCUUGGGUGUUACAAAAGAUAAAUGGACUGCAAAAUCAUUCUUAGUAGGUGGUAUCAGCGAUGGCAUCACAAUCCCUAGUGGGCAUUUUAGGAAUUAACCCAGUCCUGGAUGCAUUCUGUUUAGAGCAAGGAAACCCUUCCCAGGAAUAUCAAUAAUUUGCUGCCCAAGAGCACCUUGCUGUCCAAGUCUAUUUACAAUUACCUUUUUCAUAAUCCUGAAUUAAAUCUUAAUAUGUUAUAUAUGAAGAAAGACCCUCUA